CUUAGAUUAGAUGGAUGAGAAAACUGAUUGUCGUGCUUUUAUCAGUUUAUAAAUAUAACAGAGUUCUUUACUGUGUUUCCUACAAUGAACACAAAUAUAUUUUGGUGGGAAACUUGUCAUAGUUUACAGGGAUAGAUCCCCGUUUACUUGUUCAAAUGAAAAAAAAAAAAAAGGAACCCCUCUGUAGCACAAUUUUAUGCAAUUUGAUAUGCUUUCCCUGAUCUAUGUUAGUACAACCGUAAUUCUGUUUGCCUUCUUUCUGAUGAAGAAAUCAAAACUUUAGGGCUAUGUUGCAUUUGUGAGCCAGAGUUAAAGUAGCAAUUGUAUAAUAUAUAGGAGCUUUUUCCCUCUAUAUUUUGUUUCAAUAUUUGUGAUUGUCCCUCUUUUUGUCCCCUUUUUCUCUCUCUCAGUGGUGAAAAAAGAAGCAACCGCUGCACUAAUGGAGCAAAAAGAAGCAACUGGUGAGUCAUACAAUCUCUAUUUUCCAAGGAAAUGAACUUGACAAAAUUAUGUAGCAGAGAAAGUUUUGAAAAAUGACCUGAUCAUUCUGACCUUCCAAUUUCUUCAAUCAAGUAACCUCUACUUUUAGAAAGGGGAGAUAUUUUCCCUUUUGAUUUCCCUCAGAAGUGUUUAUUUUGAAUGACAGGGUUUCUUCACUGAUUAAUUGACACAAUAAUGGAAAUUUUGAAAUAAAUCAGUGAAUGCCAAAAAUUGGGUCAUAACUUACCUAGAGGAAGUGAAUAUGUUUUUAGUUGCAUAGAUUUAAUGAUGGCCAUAUCGUUAGAGGCUGAUCUGUACAUAGAUUUAUCUAGUACAAAAAUGAUCUAGGACAAAGAGAUCAGUUAUUUAUGGACUCAGUGAUUAUAAUUGUGAGACCUGUCUUUGUUACAAAUACAUUUGUAGUAUAGAAAAUCUCAGAGAGUAUAUGGAGAGAUCCAUGCUCCUUAAGAGAUUGAAGAAGAAGAAAGUGUAUUUGGAAGGCUUUACAAUGAACCCAUUAGGGUACAGUCCACUGAAGAAUGUACUCUCACCAAACUUUGGUUUCAGCAAUGACUCCUGAAUAUCAAAAAGCCUUAAUAUUUUCAAAGAUAGAUUUAGAAAAGAGACAUUUAAAAUGGAUGCCAAGGACAAUCUAGCGAAGCUAAUUUUUCCUGUUUCUGUGUGUGUUUUUCUUUCUGUGUUGAUCUCUUUCACCCAUCCGUCCGGGAUGAGACAAGUUGCAACUGAAGAGUAAUAUCUUCUUUGCUUUUCAAAUUUAUAUCUGUUUAUUUGAUACAGUAAAGGCAAAUGACCUAUCAGCAUGACCCCAAUUCCCUGUACCCGUCCUUUUCCACGUUUCAUCGUGUUGGAGCUUGUCUCUUUUGUCAUCAAAAAUCUUUGAUUUUGAAAAGGAUGUUUUUAAUUAAUUGAAAACAUUGUGAAGAUUUUCACAAUUAUCAGUGAAUGGGAUGCAAUGGGAGGCAUGUAGUGAAAGUCAGUAUGACUUUCUCUUCCUUAACUUGAUGGCCAAUAAAUAGAUUCUCUGUAGUGUUAUCAUCUUGUAAAGAGCAUGGGUUUCUUCAUAUGAAUCCUGAUAUCACUGAAACAUGUUUUGCUAGAAAAUGGAUAAUAUAUAGGAUCUAAUUUUAAAAUUUUUUUUUUC